rnacentral:rRNA from 1 species
GUCGAGAAUCUUUCACAAUGGGGGCAACCCUGAUGGAGCGACGCCGCGUGGAGGAUAAGGUCUUCGGAUUGUAAACUCCUGUCAUGCGUGAACAAGGUUGCUUGGUUAAUACCUGGGCAAAUUGAUGGUAACGCAAGAGGAAGAGACGGCUAACUCUGUGCCAGCAGCCGCGGUAAUACAGAGGUCUCAAGCGUUGGUCGGAAUCACUGGGCGUAAAGGGUGAGUAGGUGGCGUGGUAAGUCAGAUGUGAAAGCCCGGGGCUCAACCUCGGAACUGCAUCCGAUACUGCCAUGCUAGAGUACUGGAGAGGUGACUAGAAUUCUCGGUGUAGCAGUGAAAUGCGUAGAUAUCGAGAGGAAUACCAAAGGCGUAGGCAGGUCACUGGACAGUUACUGACACUGAGGCACGAAGGCCAGGGGAGCGAACGGGAUUAGAUACCCCUGUAGUCC